rnacentral:piRNA from 5 species
GUUGACCCGGGUUCGAUUCCCGGCCAACG